GAUGAACGCUGGCGGCGUGCUUAACACAUGCAAGUCGAACGAAGCACUUAUCUUUGAUUCUUCGGAUGAAGAGGUUUGUGACUGAGUGGCGGACGGGUGAGUAACGCGUGGGUAACCUGCCUCAUACAGGGGGAUAACAGUUAGAAAUGACUGCUAAUACCGCAUAAGACCACAGAGCCGCAUGGCUCAGUGGGAAAAACUCCGGUGGUAUGAGAUGGACCCGCGUCUGAUUAGGUAGUUGGUGGGGUAACGGCCUACCAAGCCAACGAUCAGUAGCCGACCUGAGAGGGUGACCGGCCACAUUGGGACUGAGACACGGCCCAAACUCCUACGGGAGGCAGCAGUGGGGAAUAUUGCACAAUGGGGGAAACCCUGAUGCAGCGACGCCGCGUGAGCGAAGAAGUAUUUCGGUAUGUAAAGCUCUAUCAGCAGGGAAGAAAAUGACGGUACCUGACUAAGAAGCACCGGCUAAAUACGUGCCAGCCGCCGCCGUAACAC
rnacentral:rRNA from 1 species